GAUGAACGCUGGCGGCGUGCCUAAUACAUGCAAGUCGAGCGAAUGGAUUAAGAGCUUGCUCUUAUGAAGUUAGCGGCGGACGGGUGAGUAACACGUGGGUAACCUGCCCAUAAGACUGGGAUAACUCCGGGAAACCGGGGCUAAUACCGGAUAACAUUUUGAACCGCAUGGUUCGAAAUUGAAAGGCGGCUUCGGCUGUCACUUAUGGAUGGACCCGCGUCGCAUUAGCUAGUUGGUGAGGUAACGGCUCACCAAGGCAACGAUGCGUAGCCGCCCUGAGAGGUUGAUCGGCCACACUGGGACUGAGACACGGCCCAGACUCCUACGGGAGGCAGCAGUAGGGAAUCUUCCGCAAUGGACGAGAGUCUGACGGAGCAACGCCGCGUGAGUGAUGAAGGCUUUCGGGUCGUAAAACUCUGUUGUUAGGGAAGAACAAGUGCUAGUUGAAUAAGCUGGCACCUUGACGGUACCUAACCAGAAAGCCACGGCUAACUACGUGCCAGCAGCCGCAGUAA
rnacentral:rRNA from 1 species